UACGAAGGGGGCUAGCGUUGUUCGGAAUUACUGGGCGUAAAGGGCGCGUAGGCGGUGUGUCAAGUCAGGCGUGAAAGCCCCGGGCUCAACCUGGGAACCGCGCUUGAGACUGGCACGCUCGAGUUCGGGAGAGGAUGGUGGAAUUCCCAGUGUAGAGGUGAAAUGCGCAGAUAUCGGGAAGAACACCCGUGGCGAAGGCGGCUCUCUGGGACGGUACUGACGCUGAGACGCGAAAGCGUGGGGAGCGAACAGG
rnacentral:rRNA from 1 species